rnacentral:rRNA from 1 species
GAGCUUGCUCCCUGAUGUUAGCGGCGGACGGGUGAGUAACACGUGGGUAACCUGCCUGUAAGACUGGGAUAACUCCGGGAAACCGGGGCUAAUACCGGAUGGUUGUUUGAACCGCAUGGUUCAGACAUAAAAGGUGGCUUCGGCUACCACUUACAGAUGGACCCGCGGCGCAUUAGCUAGUUGGUGAGGUAACGGCUCACCAAGGCGACGAUGCGUAGCCGACCUGAGAGGGUGAUCGGCCACACUGGGACUGAGACACGGCCCAGACUCCUACGGGAGGCAGCAGUAGGGAAUCUUCCGCAAUGGACGAAAGUCUGACGGAGCAACGCCGCGUGAGUGAUGAAGGUUUUCGGAUCGUAAAGCUCUGUUGUUAGGGAAGAACAAGUGCCGUUCAAAUAGGGCGGCACCUUGACGGUACCUAACCAGAAAGCCACGGCUAACUACGUGCCAGCAGCCGCGGUAAUACGUAGGUGGCAAGCGUUGUCCGGAAUUAUUGGGCGUAAAGGGCUCGCAGGCGGUUUCUUAAGUCUGAUGUGAAAGCCCCCGGCUCAACCGGGGAGGGUCAUUGGAAACUGGGGAACUUGAGUGCAGAAGAGGAGAGUGGAAUUCCACGUGUAGCGGUGAAAUGCGUAGAGAUGUGGAGGAACACCAGUGGCGAAGGCGACUCUCUGGUCUGUAACUGACGCUGAGGAGCGAAAGCGUGGGGAGCGAACAGGAUUAGAUACCCUGGUAGUCCACGC